rnacentral:ncRNA from 1 species
CUCCGGAGUAGAAGCAGUCAGCGCAAAGGCGCGGUCAUUGCUCCGGUC